GGCUCAUCCGAAGGUGGUGAGUUAUCUCAGUUGAUUGUUCCCAGUCACAGACUGAACCCCUUGUUCUAUACUUUCCCCUUCUCAAUACUGUACUUUAGUCUUAA
ensembl:misc_RNA Y_RNA Y RNA